GACGAACGCUGGCGGCGUGCUUAACACAUGCAAGUCGAACGGAAAGGCCCUGCUUUUGUGGGGUGCUCGAGUGGCGAACGGGUGAGUAACACGUGAGUAACCUGCCCUUGACGUUGGGAUAACUUCAGGAAACUGGGGCUAAUACCGGAUAGGAGCUCCUGCUGCAUGGUGGGGGUUGGAAAGUUUCGGCGGUUGGGGAUGGACUCGCGGCUUAUCAGCUUGUUGGUGGGGUAGUGGCUUACCAAGGCUUUGACGGGUAGCCGGCCUGAGAGGGUGACCGGCCACAUUGGGACGGAAAUACGGCCCAGACUCCUACGGGAGGCAGCAGUGGGGAAUAUUGCACAAUGGGCGGAAGCCUGAUGCAGCAACGCCGCGUGCGGGAUGACGGCCUUCGGGUUGUAAACCGCUUUCGCCUGUGACGAAGCGUGAGUGACGGUAAUGGGUAAAGAAGCACCGGCUAACUACGUG
rnacentral:rRNA from 1 species